GAAACCUGGUUGAUCCUGCCAGUAGUCAUACGCUUGUCUCAAAGAUUAAGCCAUGCAUGUCUAAGUAUAAACGAAUCUAUACUGUGAAACUGCGUACGGCUCAUUAAACCAGUUAUAGUUUAUUUGAUAUUCCCCUACUACUUGGAUACCCGUAGUAAUUCUAGAGCUAAUACAUGCGUCAAGCGACAUAUAUC
rnacentral:rRNA from 1 species